rnacentral:lncRNA from 1 species
UUAAGCAACGAAGGGGUAAGGCGUGCAGACACGGGCACAAGAGGAGAGAAGUGUACACCACGAACGCCGACUACCAACUAAUGGAAGUACUGAGGCGAAAAGAGAAAGAAGACACAAAACUCACCUGCGCAUGCUCUGGAAUGGUAGCACCACGUGACAAAUGGGUGCACGUGCCGGUCUACGUGAGAGAUAACUGUUGAGGCAUAUUAUCUCUUCCUUAUGUAAGGUAAUCGAAGGCUGACUCACGC